AUCCCAUGGUGAGGGAAUUUACGUAGUAACUCUUUAAAUCUUUCCCAUGCCUCGAUAAAGAUUCAUCAUCCAUUAGCUGAAAAUUAGUGAUCUUAUUCUGUAACU
rfam:Gossypium raimondii Chr11_contig_537, whole genome shotgun sequence.